rnacentral:lncRNA from 1 species
UUCCUGUUUCAAAUUCGGUUUUGUACCUCGAGUAAAUCUAACCAAAAUGAUUAAGUCGACAUAUUCUGCUGCUCUAUGAUGACAACAUCAUCUUCCGAGAGUAAAGAUUGAUUACUAGAAUGACAUGAAAUAUUCGUGUUACGAGAAACAUUCUGUUUCCAAGACCGCAAAUCACGGUUUGUCACAAAUUUCUGUGAUUAGAAAACUGCGGAUUUUUUUAUUUAUGCAAU